UACAGAGGGUGCAAACGUUGUUCGGAAUUACUGGGCGUAAAGCGCGUGCAGGCGGCCUUGCAAGUCGGACGUGAAAUCCCACGGCUCAACCGUGGAAGUGCAUUCGAAACUGCGAGGCUAGAGUCCUGGAGAGGAAAGUGGAAUACUCGGUGUAGAGAUGAAAUUCGUAGAUAUCGAGUGGAACACCGGUGGCGAAGGCGGCUUUCUGGACAGGUACUGACGCUGAGACGCGAAAGCGUGGGGAGCAAACAGG
rnacentral:rRNA from 1 species